ACUCCUACGGGAGGCAGCAGUGGGGAAUAUUGGACAAUGGGCGAAAGCCUGAUCCAGCCAUGCCGCGUCAGUGAUGAAGGCCUUAGGGUUGUAAAGCUCUUUCAGUAGGGAAUAUAAUGACGGUACCUACAGGAGAAGCCCCGGCUAACUACGUGCCAGCAGCCGCGGUAAU
rnacentral:rRNA from 1 species